rnacentral:rRNA from 1 species
UACGAAGGGGGCUAGCGUUGUUCGGAUUUACUGGGCGUAAAGCGCACGUAGGCGGAUACUUAAGUCAGGGGUGAAAUCCUGGAGCUCAACUCCAGAACUGCCUUUGAUACUGAGGAUCUUGAGUUCGGGAGAGGUGAGUGGAACUGCGAGUGUAGAGGUGAAAUUCGUAGAUAUUCGCAAGAACACCAGUGGCGAAGGCGGCUCACUGGCCCGAUACUGACGCUGAGGCACGAAAGCGUGGGGGAGCAAACAGG